CUGUAAAUACAUUUAUAUAUUAUAUACAUAUUUUUCCUCAUGUCAAAUAUAUGACAUAUAUGUGCAUAUACAUGUGCAUAUACAUGUAUCUAUAUAUGUGCAUAUACAUGUAUAUGUAUAUGUGCAUAUACAUGUAUCUAUACAGUCUAGAGAAAGUUAACCGGAAACCUCAGUCCACCUCUGUGACUGUCCAAAGUCUUCUGCAAGAUUUCUGAGAAUUUCUGGGAUGAAGGGGCUGGGGGCCGGAGGUUUAUCUGCCCUUCGUUGUCUCUGGCUCCACGCACCAAGCAUGCAUCUAGCAAACCUAUGGUUUAAUGGCCCUAUUUCAAACCACAUGGAAAUGGACCUGUGGCAAUCAGCCCUCUUUCUUGGUUUCCACAGGCUCAACAUUACAUGAAAAUUUGGGAGAUAAAUGUAAGGUUGAUAUUACAGCAACACAAAUGAGUUCAUAUCAAACAUGAGAUGUUAUAACAAUAUCAGAGGGGCUAAUUCCCCAUCAGAGAUUUUUUUUCCCCCACUGGCUAUUUCAUCCCACAUAAUAGUCUGUAUUUUCUUGUUAGUUUAUUACACUUUCCUCUUCUCUCAUGAUUCACCCUCAUUACUAUCCUCCUAAAUCACUCCUGGGAAUUCCAGAUUCUCUUCAUUUUGUUUUGCACAGCAAAUUCAACUCUCUCCAACCCCUGGCGAAGGGCAGCUCCAGUUUACCUUUGCAUAUCCAAACUGGUCAGAGUGGUGCAGAUCAAAAGAUGCUUUUAUUUAACAGGAGCCUCCCUAAGGUUAUGGCUGUGAAUAGAAUUACUCCCCUUGAAAAUGGCAUAUCCUCUCCUUGAUCACCACAAAAACCUUUGUUGGGUCACUCACAAUCUGUUAUCCGGACUGUUGCGUCUGAACUGGUUUCUUCCUAACUGGUUCCUAACCAGUGGCUUCCUAACUGGUUUCUCUGUCUCCAUUCUCCCUCACCCCACAUUGGUCCUCCACAUGCCAGAGUGAGACUUUUCCAAGAUGCAAUUCUGUUGACAUCAGUCACCUGCUUGAAAUUCUUCCGUGGUAACCCAUAUUCUGCAGAAUCAUCUUCAAAUCCCUUGGCCUGGCAAACAUGGCCCUGCUGAUCUUUCGUCCUCAUCUGUCCUCACGUGCCCUGUGCUUAAGCCAUACUAGCACCGUGCAGUGCACUGAACCAGUGAUGCUGCCUCUUGACACAUACCUUUCACAUACCAUCCUACCUCCUGGAAUUCCCCUCCCACUCUUUACCUCGGGGGAGCGCCUACUCAUUCUUCAAGAGACCUUGAAAGAUGAGUAGCUGAUUGAACCAAGGAGAUGGGGAACAGGGUGCCUUUCAAAGGAGACUCUAUUCUCUUCCACACUCUCCCUGGGUGACCUUAACCAAACUCCUAUCUUUAAAUUCCACUCGUACCACGUGAUGCCCAAAUCCUUACUUCCAGCACAAAUACCACCCUUGUGAUUCUAAACCCGUACAUUCAAAAGAACAGGCACCUCAGACACAACAUAUUUAAGGCUGAACUCAUCUUUUUCCUCCAACACCUGCUCCUGUUAUAUUCUGUAUUCCACUAUCUCGCAAUACAUUUUACCUUGCAUUAUAUACUAUCUGUGUAGAUGUCUUAAUCUUCCUACUAUCCUACUGGAUUCUAUAUCCUGGAGAUCCGGGGCUUUAUCAGCAAGCACUCAAUGCAUAUAUCUGAAUAGAUGGAGAUGAUUAGCUGCUCGGCAACAAUGAAGAGACAGAUGACAGUAUCUUCUCGCCAUCCCUCCCAGGGUGGCCAAAGGGUGAUGUGGGACCAAAAACAAUCAUGGUUGAGAAGCCAAGUCUAGAGGCGAGAUUGGUCCCAGGGUCUGUGACAGGGCAGGACCUACAUGUGGAGGCUAAGGGGCUCCAAGGAGCGCAUCACUAGGGAGCGGCCCGUGGUAGGCACUCCCUCUGUGUGCAUUGCAGGGCCAGAGCUCUAAGAAUAUCUGCAUCCACUCUUGCUGGCCCUCCUCUCUCAAAGCCUCACUCCACCCCUUCUCCCAUGUGAUCUGGGGCCAUGGUCAGGAUGUAUUCAUGAGCGGCUGUGCAAGCCACAGUCGGGAGAGUGUUCGGGUAAGCCAAGGACUGACAACUGGCAAGUGGAAGUCCUGUUCUCUACAUCCUGAGGUCAAAUUAGUAUAAUCCUCAAACCCCUAACUCUUGAAUUCAUUAGACAAAUUUGCAUGCUGAAGCAGUCUUUACUCUGAUAUACUAUUUGUACAUUGGCUACUUUGCACUAAUUUUCAGAUGACUAAUAACUUGUUCCAUAUUGAAACUUUGUGUAAUUAGCCAUCGAGUCUUUAUGACAAGUUCAGCAGGUUCUUAGCAACACGAUUUUUGUGGGGCUAUACAUUUAGAAGUUUUAAAAAUUAAGCAUGGAUUUGAAGUCUAGCCAUCUCCUCUCUGAUCGAAAUACUGUUGUCACUAGUACCCACAGCUAAAUUCUCUGUCUUCCUGAAUGAAAUCUCAGCUGAUCCAUCUGAGUAAUCAUCGUUACAUAAACACACAAAAAAAUGAUCUAAAGUCAGUCUCAAGCCACAAUGUGAAAUUUGCCCUCAACUGUUGCCUCAUAGUUGCAGACUAUGCAGGAGACCAGAAGAAAGCUGAAAAUAUCACAGUCAGAGGAGCAAGAUCAUACUCACCAAUGUGCUUAUUUAUUUUUCUCUAAAUGCUGCCAGGAAGUUUGGGUGAUUCUUCUCCACGACGCUCUUAAGAAGGUUAACAAGAAUCUUGAUCUGUCAGAACUUGUUGGGAUGGUAACUCUGCUUUUACCCCAGAAGCUGUCAUUAAUAAAUUUGUUUUUAAAGAAAUGCAAAUUAUUUUUAACAGAAGCAAAAAAAAAAAAAAAAAGGCAAAACAAAUCCAGCUUCUUCUCCACCCAUGAUAUUCACAAGUUAGAAGUCACCAUUGGGGUGAUAAAAAAUAUGAAAUCAAUGAAAAAUGCUUACGGAAAGAGACACACUGACAGAGAUUACUUGAAAUUCAGAGAGAAGAUUCUGAGAAAACAGAGAAUGACAGCAUUUCCCUUUGGGUCUUCACAUGUGCAAAAGCAGAACAAUCCCAAGCCUUCUACAUUUGAAGUAAAGAUAUUGGAGUAAUAUUUUUUAUUUUUUAUCCAGAUCAUGGCUGGUGUCUUGAUGCACCUGAGAGGCCGGAAACUGUAGUGGUCGAGGGUUCAUCCUUUGUAUUAAGACAGACCUAAGUCUGAUGCUCAGCUCUGCCAUUACUAUUUAACUUGGUGCAAAUUGUUUGUUUCAUUUGCCUUGGCUGAAAAAUUGGGAUCAUAAAUUCCUCCUGUAAAACAUUUCAUGUAAUGCCCAACACUUAAUAAGUGGUCCAAUAAAUAGUGGUUAGUGUUAUGAUGGGUCCUUUUAAACAUGACUUUUCUCAAAGGAAAAACAUCUGUUAUGAAAGGUCCGGGAGUGGAAUAAGCACAGCCAAGGGGCUUCUGGAAGCCCCUUUAAAUGGCAUCAUCAUUAUCAUCAAAAAGUGGCUUGGUCUGAACUAGCUCAUUGCCCACAUUACAGUAUCCCCUGCAGAAAGGAGACAGGGCCAGGGGAUGCCUCCCUGUGGAAGUUAGAGAGCAGUCUACACUGGGAAUUGCACACUAAGUGGGCAGGUGUUGACUGUGCCCUCUGGGGACAGUGUUUAUCAGAAAAACACUUGUAUGGGCAGGUAAUGUACUCCCUGUACAAAGCAGAACCAAUAUCUGGAGGUGUUCUUUUUUUUUUUUUUCCGUUUUGGCUGCGCCGUGCGACAUGCGGGACCCUAGUCCCACGCCCCCUGCAGUGGAAGCAUGGAGUCUUAACCACUGGACUACCAGGGAAGUCCCUAUUUGAAGGUGUUCUUGACAUAACUUAUACAAGAAAUCCAGUGAAUUUUCACUGUGCUGCCCAAAUCCCAAUAUCAACUCACAAGUCUCAAGAACCCACACAUGCGAAACCAAAUCCUCUUCUGUGCAUUUUAUACCCCCUAGCUCUCUUGGUUACAAUUACUGUGAACUUCUGUCAUGGGGGAGAGAUGUAGGAGGGGAUAAACCAUAAACAACCAAAAACAUUGUAUUGGAUAAUUUCUAGGAGAGGUAAGCAGAACGGAGGUUAUUGCUUUAAUAGUCAGAGAAAGAGUAAAGCUGGAGGAUGAUUUAAGGGGACAAUGCUUUCAAGAGAAGCAGUAACUGAAGACUGGGAAGUAGCCACCAUAAUUUUCCGAAACCUGUUGUUUCUUCCAGUUCCCUAUUCAACAAUGUGUAGUAGUUUCUAUCUCUGGGGGAGAUGCUGUGAAAAAAAUGCCAUUGGGAAUUCAGGUAGGGAAACCAAACAACUUGGGGAAAAGUUUUCUGUAUUUUGAACUUUACAUGGCAUUAUUUUUGUUCCUCCAGAAGACUUGUCAGAACAGAUAGAUCUCUUGAGUCAAUUAAUACCGUCGUCAAGGUGCACAUUUAUUCAGGCCAGUUAUUCCAGAAGAAAUAGAUGACAGUCUAAAUGUUGCCUGGGCCUGCAUUUCACUGAAGAGUGUGUAGGGUAUCGAGAUUUGUGCAUGUCCAAAAUUCCAUGUCUAAUGGUUGGUCGUUUUUCCCAAUUAUAAGAGAACAAAGAGCCAUGGAGAGAUGCUGACAUAGCAUUGACAAAGCUUGAGAUGUAUUUCCUAUUUUACAUCAGUGCUUCAAACUCUUGCCAUAUUUAGAGAUAAAUCUUAUGGCAAUUUGAUGUUAACACUCCUACAGAAAACAGCCUGGAGUCACCAGAUCUUUAAAGUAGCCUAAGUUUUCACCACUAAGCUCAUUGCCAAUCUUGUGGGUAACACAUACCAAUAGAAAUCUUUUCCCUAUCUUUUUCUGUUUUCCCCACAUUUUCUCAUUAGAUGCUGAGUGCAGUCCUGUGAACUUCCUAAGAAACAUGACCUAUGGCUAAAAUGCUAUUUCUCAAUCUAAAUGGAGUCAGCUGAGAAACAGUGCACUAACUCCUCCUACUUAUACCUGGGCAAGUUAGUAAUUUCCACAGGCCAGGAUGGUUCCAUAAAUACCUUUUCUAUACAUCAAAAUACAUAAAUGUUCCUGUUCAUACACACUAACACAAAGAAAAUUUCUUAAAUAACGUCAAGUGGUUCCCCAGUGACCUGCUAGAGGAACCCACACAAGUGUAUCUCCAACAUCUAGUGUCAAGUUUUUUCCAGCCCUCCUUUCUUCUUCACCGUGUGCCUUUUUGCCAUUCUUUCAUAAUCAGUCAUGAGCACACCUUCUAUUCCUGAUAGUGUGAAGGUGAUUGAGUAAACUACAAAAACCUGCUAGGGAGCUGGCAGGCGGGGUUGAGAGGGGAGCCUGAUUUCUCAAUGGGUCUUAGAAUUACGUGGUCACAUGAAUUUCCUCUAUUACCCUGAUGUAGAUAUAUUAAUACAUGGAAUGAGAGAUUUGUUUUAUUCAGAAGCCUACUUCCAACUUACAGUAACAAUAAUCAUUUAAAAUAGUUUGGUUUAGGAUAGGGCAUUAGGAUAACACUUGCAUUCAAAUGCAUUUACCUAGUAGCUCUGAAAAUACAAUGUCUGGGAAUUUGUGACAACUUGGGAACAUGAUCCAGGAGAACAUUUCCUUAUGUUUCUGUUUCUUCUUGCUUGAUUCACCGGUUCCUAUUAAUAUUUAAGAAACUUGUGUAUUUGAAGGCUUUGGGGGCAAGAUUCUCCAAAAACGUUAACAGUUUUUACAACACCCAUCCCCAUCCUCAGUUUUGUGGAAAAUCUUAUCAACAUAAAGACACAGCAAUGGUUUUCAUGUGUUGAAAGAUACUCCAAAGUUUUAUUAUAAUGUCGGACAGUUCAUAUGUGGGGUCACUAGUGCAAUUAUAAUUUACCAUUUACCGUAACUGAGACCAAGAUAUGAAAACAGUGCUACAUCUAAGUGUUAACCAGCCAUGCAGUGGAAAGAUUACAACCACAUUUUUUUCCUACAAGUAUCCUAUCUUUUCCAACAACCACCAAAUCCCACUUGAGGUGUGAGCUUUACAGAAUUACAACUGAACUCAAAUGCAUAAUGUUUCUCCCUAUCCAUCUUCUCCCACGCAGGCUAUUGGAAUAGCCAACGUAAUGAUUGGUUUCAGAUUUAGCUAGCUGGGAAAUGAAGAAACAUAUAUGAAAAAUAUACAGCGGUCCCUCAGUAUACACAGAGGAUGAACCCCAUGGAUACCAAAAUCCGAGACUGCUCGAGUCCCUUAUAUAAAGUGGCAGUCCAGUGGUUAGGACUCUGCGGUCUCUCUGCCGAGGGCCUGGGUUCAAUUGCUGGUUGGGGAAAUAAAAUCCCGCAAGCUGCACGGUGAGGCAAAAAAUUUAAAAUAAAAAUAAAUAAAUAAAAUAAUAAAAUAAAAGUAAAGUAAAAUAAAAUAAUAAAAUAAAAUAAAAUGUAGUAGUACAGGGAAUAGAGUUGGCCCUUUGUCUUUAGAGGAUGCGACACCUGCGGGAACAGAGAGCUGACUGUAGCGUUCCCCAUCAAACCAGUUUUUCUGUUGUUCUCCGUUCUGGAAAACAAAGUGAUGAAAAUGGAAAGUAAAAAGAAGGAUGCUGAAAGGGCUCAGGUUGUGUGUAGAAUUUCUCUUUGCUCGUGGUCUAACUGGCAUAAACCUUAUCAGGCUGUCCCAGACAUGUUGGCUGUAAAACCGUGGGGCACUGGUACAGAUCUAAAGCAUUCAUUGGGCUCAGAAUCUACUUGAACUUUCUAAACAUCUUGAGGCAUCAGGUCCUUAUAAACAUGUUCCAUAGGGGCCAGAGGCAUUCAUGCAUGAACAAAGCAAGACCACUUACAGAAGAGAAUCCAUUUACAGGUGGCUUGGAAAGUGGUUGCAAUUCUAGGACUAUGCUUAUUAAGUUAGACUCUAAUAAUUAUUUUUUUAAGUUGAUUUUAUUUUUUUAAAGAUUUUUCUGAUAUGGACCAUUUUUAAAGUCCUUAAUGAAUUUGUUACAAUACUGCUUCUGGUUUUAUGUUUUGGCUUUUUUGGCCAUGAGGCAUGUGGGAUCUUAGCUCCCCGACCAGGGAUAGAACCUGCACCCCCCUGCCUUGGAAGGCGAAGUCUUAACCACUGGACCGCCAGGGAAGUCUCGACUCUCAUAAUCACUUAACUAUUAAUGUUAACUACAUCACAACCUUCAGCAAAUAUCCAUAGCAAAGUUCACAGGAGUCUUAAAAAAAAAAGAAAAAAAUUUUAAAAAUUUCCAUUUGAAUGGGCUAGUAUGGAUUGAACUUUAACUGAAUAUAUAACUACGAUGUUGGCCUUUCUACAUUUACAUCCUUGCUCAAUAAACAAAACCCAAAUAUGCUAAAUAUUUCAUCAGCUUCUCCCUAACUAGUUAUCAUCCUUCAAAAUGGAGAUUUGAAUAUACUUCUUAAUUUUACUUGCUGAGUGUUUUCCCAAUACCAAUCUUAAAACAAAAAUCUGGUUGCAGACAGAAAUUCUCCUUUCUAUUCUCUGCCUCCUUAGACUCCCACUCUAGUUAAAAAAAAAAAAAAAACAAA